UACGUAGGGUGCGAGCGUUGUCCGGAAUUAUUGGGGCGUAAAGGGCUCGUAGGCGGUUUGUCGCGUCGGGAGUGAAAACCUCGGGCUUAACUCGGGGCUUGCUUUCGAUACGGGCAGACUGGAGGUAUGCAGGGGAGGAACGGAAUUCCUGGUGUAGCGGUGAAAUGCGCAGAUAUCAGGAGGAACACCGGUGGCGAAGGCGGUUCUCUGGGCAUGACCUGACGCUGAGGAGCGAAAGUGUGGGGAGCGAACAGG
rnacentral:rRNA from 1 species